rnacentral:sRNA from 1 species
UGCUCUGAGUUCAUUGAGGCCCACGGGGUGGUGGAUGGGAUCUACCGGCUCUCAGGCGUGUCUUCCAACAUCCAGAGGCUUCGGCAUGAGUUUGACAGCGAGAGGAUCCCGGAGCUGUCUGGCCCUGCCUUCCUGCAGGACAUCCACAGCGUGUCCUCCCUCUGCAAGCUCUACUUCCGAGAGCUUCCAAACCCUCUGCUCACCUACCAGCUCUAUGGGAAGUUCAGUGUGAGUAAGGGAGCUGGCGGGACGGAGGGGGCCAGGACACCUCUGGCCCAGACCUCAUCACACCCGCCCACCAUCUCAGGAGGCCAUGUCAGUGCCUGGGGAGGAGGAGCGUCUGGUGCGGGUGCACGAUGUCAUCCAGCAGCUGCCCCCGCCACAUUACAGGACGCUGGAGUACCUGCUGAGGCACCUGGCCCGCAUGGCGAGACACAGUGCCAACACCAGCAUGCAUGCCCGCAACCUGGCCAUUGUCUGGGCACCCAACCUGCUACGGUCCAUGGAGCUGGAGUCAGUGGGAAUGGGUGGCGCGGCGGCGUUCCGGGAAGUUCGGGUGCAGUCGGUGGUGGUGGAGUUUCUGCUCACCCAUGUGGACGUCCUGUUCAGCGACACCUUCACCUCCGCCGGCCUCGACCCUGCAGGUAUGCCCUCCCACCCCCUGAGGUCCUGGCUACUGCCCACCACGGUCAGGGCUGCAGGGGGAGGGCAGGUGGGCUC